CUUUUUGUGUGUUUGGAGUCUGACGUAAGCCAGCGAUUGGCAGUUCGUUUCCUGUGUGUGUUUGUUGGUUCGGAGUCUGAUGUAAGUCCAGCGAUUGGCAUUCGGUUUCCAUGUUUGCCUGUUUGUGUGGAGUCUGACAUAAGUGUAAAACCCAAAAAUUUGCCCUCCUCAUUCAUGCAUUCAUUUAGCAUUUCAUAUUGCAUUUCAUCAUGUCAAUCAGAAUUAGAUCCGAAAAAAA
rnacentral:lncRNA from 1 species